UCAUCCUAGGCAUUGACACCCAGCUAGAAGAGGGGGAAAGUACAGGAGACUUUCACAGGCCUGGCCUGGAAAUGGAAAGAUCACUUUCUCCCACAAUGCACCGGCUGCAGCUCAGUCACUACAACAGAAACCAAGAAAUAUAGUCCAGUUGUGCGCCCAGGAGGUGAGGAAGCGAGCUCAGUCACGAACCAGCUUCUGCCCCAACAUUUCGAACCAGCUCACACUCAGCUGUGAGCACUCUAAGCCGGGAAGGCAAUCUUGGAAGCUACCUAGAAGAUGGCAGAACCUUCUUGAGUCUGGACCCCUGAACCUUGUAGAGUGGACCUCCUGUGCCCCAUUUCACCCGCCACCUCCUGACUUACCUUGGAAUGUUACACUGACAAGCCACUAAAAUUUGGGAGUAUCUUUAUAACAGGACUACUACAGAGCAGAUCCUGAUCUUAGAACUCAGCCUCAUACAGGAUGUGACUUCACUCU